rnacentral:rRNA from 1 species
GACGAACGCUGGCGGCGUGCUUAACACAUGCAAGUCGAACGCGCCUGUUCCCUGGGUUUUCCGGGGGGUGGGUGAGUGGCGAACGGGUGAGUAACACGUGAGUAACCUGCCCCCUUCUUCGGGAUAACGGUCUGAAAGGGCUGCUAAUACCGGGUAUUCACUGGUCCUCGCAUGGGGGCUGGUGGAAAGGUUUUUUUCUGGUGGGGGAUGGGCUCGCGGCCUAUCAGCUUGUUGGUGGGGUGAUGGCCCACCAAGGCUUUGACGGGUAGCCGGCCUGAGAGGGUGACCGGUCACAUUGGGACUGAGAUACGGCCCAGACUCCUACGGGAGGCAGCAGUGGGGAAUAUUGCACAAUGGGCGCAAGCCUGAUGCAGCGACGCCGCGUGAGGGAUGGAGGCCUUCGGGUUGUGAACCUCUUUCGCCCGUGGUCAAGCCGCGACGUGGGUCGUGGUGAGGGUAGUGGGUAAAGAAGCGCCGGCUAACUACGUGCCAGCAGCCGCGGUAAUACGUAGGGCGCGAGCGUUGUCCGGAAUUAUUGGGCGUAAAGGGCUUGUAGGCGGCUGGUCGCGUCUGCCGUGAAAUCCUCUGGCUCAACUGGGGGCGUGCGGUGGGUACGGGCUGGCUUGAGUGCGGUAGGGGAGGCUGGAACUCCUGGUGUAGCGGUGGAAUGCGCAGAUAUCAGGAAGAACACCGGUGGCGAAGGCGGGUCUCUGGGCCGUUACUGACGCUGAGGAGCGAAAGCGUGGGGAGCGAACAGG